AGCGUUCUGUGAUGCCCUUGUAUACAUGUAAAUGCUGCAGCGUCUGUGUGUUUCUCCUCUUAGACUCUCAGCUGAAGAAGUGUCUUUAGAAUAAAUCUCUUGACAUUUAUUUUGGUCCUUCGAAGCCGGGGCAGAAACAUCAGAACUCUUAUCUGUGACUCUGUUCCAGGAUCCAGCACUGAUUCCUGACGCUGUGGGAAGCCAGCACCGAAGUCUGUGCACAGCCCUCUUAGAUGAGGCCGAAAGACCUGGGACGCUAAAAUUCGGGUCCAGGCCGGUGUUUUUAGUCUGGUCCAUGGCGGUGGGAUUCAGUCUGGCGAUCCGAACCACCAGUGAGACGUCUGAGGGUGAGAAACACUAUUUUGGUUAGGAAUCGCCGUAAUGAACCGACAAAUAAAAUAGGUUAGGAAUCGCCGUAAUGAACCGACAAAUAAAAUAGGUUAGGAAUCGCCGUAAUGAACCGACAAAUGAAAUAGGUUAGGAUUCGCCGUAAGGAACUGAAUUAGACUUAGGUUUUAGAAGUAGCCGUAAUUACUUCAUAACAAAUUGAAAAAGCGCGCAAAUGUCUAUGUGUGUAUGUGUCUAGAAGUAAGUUGAUUUUACAGCACAAUACGCUGCUGAACUACUUCUAUUUUAUUUUGUUUUCUUUGCUGAGGCUCACGUACUGGUGACAUUGGAGAACGGUUGGGCUUCGUCUCGUAACACUGGUACCGCUUGACCUUUAGGGUCAAGUCGAAGGCCGUAUCAGUAACCACUCUGAAGUCGAGCGUGCCAGUGACGGCCCAGCAAAAUCUUUAAAAAUGGGGAAUAAACAAGCAAAAUUAACACCUGACGAGGAAUGAUUAGAAAAACAAGAAACCGGAGCAGGAAUAAUCCAAAAGAAGGGGAGAGGAAUGGAGAGGCAGACAGGCAAAAAAAAAAGAGUAAAAGCAUUAACAAACAAAGAAGGCAGUGACUCAGAACAGGAUAGCAGCCCAGGUGAAGAGAAUAGUUCAGAUCAGGAAGAACAUAAUAAUCCCUCACCAAGUGAAAAAUUCAAGAUCAAAGUAGAAGUUUAAAAAGGGCUGGAAACAGACCCGACUGAAUACAUAUAGAUACAAGAGGAAUAAAGUAAAAUAAACAAAAGGCUAAAUUAA